UGGAGGUCAAGAGGUAAAUAUGUAAUAAUUCAGAUUAAGCUAGAUCUCUUGAUGGGUCUGCUCAAAGCCGAUUAGUGUGCUGGUGUGUAAUACCUGGAAUGUACAGAGCAUGGACUUGAGCCACACUGCCCAGGGUUCAGACCUCAGCUCCACCACUUACUCCCUGUGAGGCUUUGGGUGCCAGCUGCCAGCUGCCAUGGAAGCAUAGAGCCUGACUGAUGAUUAUAGCCUGGGAAUCACCAAGGGUCACAGAAGCCCAGACACUGAAGUGAACUUUGAAGAAAGUGGAGAUAUUUAUUCAAG